AAAAUAAUUUUCAUGGCACCACACCUGCAGCUUGAGUUAGCUAACCCAAAGAAUUGGAUUAGCAAAAACGUGUCAUUUCACUUUGGCUUCUGUCUUCUCUUUCUUCUUUGUCGAUCUCCCUUCUCACUUUCUCUCUAUCAUGGAAUCUCAGUGACAUCCAUGGAACUCUCAUCUCUCUCUUCUGCUCUCUUUCUUUUUCCAAAAUUGAUUGGGUGAUUAUCUUUAUGUUUUCUGCUUAUUCCAAGUUUAAUGCUAUUCUUGAAACUCUUUGAUGGAUUAUUAUUUGAAGAUUGGAGUGCAG
rnacentral:lncRNA from 1 species